CAGCGUAUUGGCUUCAGGAGCAGACUGUGAGCUGCUGUCCAGCGCGUCUUCACACCGCUAUCCCCACAUGGUCGACUCCAUCACUGCCUGUCUGGAUGCUUCCCUCUCACUGACUUUGUGUGAUUGCUGCUAAUAUCAAACAACAGUCGGUCUUCUAUAAAUGAUACCAAUCAUGGCCAAAGUGUCCCUGUACAGACAACCAGCACACUUCUUAAUGAGGAGCAGCUGUGCAGGACCUGGAACCAAAAGGCUACCUACUGAUUUUAAAAUACACAAUAAAUAUUCCAUAAAUAAUUCAACUAUUCCAUGCAAAUGUUCUUUAUGUGCAAAUCUAUGCUCAGGGUGCAAUGCUCAAUAAAGUGCCAGAUAAGGUGCUUUUAAUAAAGUGCAAUAUUAUUAAUAUCACUGUGUGCAGAUCUGCUAGCCCUGCAAUAAUAGAGCAUCCUGAAGUUGAAUAUCCACUAGCCUGGGUUCAAGAUUUGCUGCACUGGGAACCUGAAGCAUAUGAUUGCAGAGAGACUGAGCACUGCUCGGCAGAGCGCUGAUCUUUAGCCUGCUGUCGGUUCAUCAGUCGGUGUAGCUGAUUCAGGUUGAUAUUCAACUUUAUAAUCAUCAAAGUAAGCUGGGAGAUAGCUCCAAUAUAACUGAGUGAACAGCAGGCAAGUAGUACAGCAACUGGCAUACUCGGUGAGGAUAUGGGGGGGUGUAUGUGUGGUUCUAAAUAACAGGAAACAGGAAGAAUAACUAUUAUUACAUGACAAAUAUGACAAUCAUUACUGUUCAACAUCAUACACCGUUAAUCAAUUACACCAUAAAUAAUCAACUGAAUGCUCUGGCUGAAUGAAAUCUCACAGUGCCAUUUUAAACAGGCAGAAAGCAGGAAUAUCUGCAUAUCCCAAGCAACAGAAAAGGCCUAAUAUCUCAAUAUUAAUGAAAGUCAACAAUUAGGCGGUCAUUAGAGCCCUCUAGUGGUCAAAUAACCUAACUACUUUACCCAAGUCUGCCCCACGUCAAAGGCUGCGGUGGAAAGUCACAUGCUUCUACCAAUAUCAGUCAAACCUCCCAACAUACUCCAUAUCAGGUACAUGUUCUAUUAUGUGAUACUCUAACGCAGUGGUUCCCAAACUUUUUUUGCUGGGCCCCCCUUGUUUUACAAGAAAAAUGUUCGCGCCCACCCCCCACCCCCGCGCGUGCACGCACACGCACAAACACAUCCUCCAACCACACACACCCAUAUUUUGCUCCAUUUCACACCUCAAACAUUUAUUAAACAAUUAAGCAAAUACAAAUAAUCUGCAAUAAAUUACAGGUAGUAAGAAAAUAAACUACCAACUCUUUUACGCUCCGUCCGCACCUACACAGGUAUUUUUGAACACGCAGCUGUUUCGGCCACAUGUAAACGGCGUAUUGAAUCACCGAGAACGGAGAUUUUUUAAAACUCCCUUUUUUUGCGUUUAUGUGUGGACAAGGAAUACAGAGUUUGUCACGCAAUGUCAAAGGUAUGUGCCGUUUUUCAUAUCACGCUGUGCGCCACAUUAUUGUUUACAUGGGAUA
ensembl:lncRNA